rnacentral:rRNA from 1 species
AGUGGCGAACGGGUGAGUAAAGUAUCGGAACGUGCCCAGUCGUGGGGGAUAACGUAGCGAAAGUUACGCUAAUACCGCAUACGAUCUAUGGAUGAAAGCGGGGGAUCGCAAGACCUCGCGCGAUUGGAGCGGCCGAUAUCAGAUUAGGUAGUUGGUGGGGUAAAGGCUCACCAAGCCGACGAUCUGUAGCUGGUCUGAGAGGACGACCAGCCACACUGGGACUGAGACACGGCCCACACUCCUACGGGAGGCAGCAGUGGGGAAUUUUGGACAAUGGGCGCAAGCCUGAUCCAGCCAUGCCGCGUGCAGGAUGAAGGCCUUCGGGUUGUAAACUGCUUUUGUACGGAACGAAAAGGUUUGGCCUAAUAAGCUGAGCUCAUGACGGUACCGUAAGAAUAAGCACCGGCUAACUACGUGCCAGCAGCCGCGGUAAUACGUAGGGUGCGAGCGUUAAUCGGAAUUACUGGGCGUAAAGCGUGCGCAGGCGGUUAUGUAAGACAGAUGUGAACUCCCCGGGCUCAACCUGGGAACUGCAUUAGUGACUGCAUAGCUGGAGUACGGCAGAGGGGGAUGGAAUUCCGCGUGUAGCAGUGAAAUGCGUAUAUAUGCGGAGGAACACCGAUGGCGAAGGCUAUCCCCUGGUCCUGUACUGACGCUCAUGCACGAAAGCGUGGG